GUUGUAUGGUUAAGUGACUAAGCGUACACGGUGGAUGCCUUGGCAGUCAGAGGCGAUGAAAGACGUAGUAACUUGCGAUAAGCCCAGAUUAGGUAGUAACAACCAUUUGAGUCUGGGAUUUCUGAAUGGGGAAACCCACGUGCAUAAGCACGUAUCCUUACCUGAAUACAUAGGGUAAGGAGGCGAACCGGGGGAACUGAAACAUCUAAGUACCCCGAGGAAAAGAAAUCAACCGAGAUUCCGAAAGUAGCGGCGAGCGAAAUUGGACUAGCCCUUAAGCUUUACACGCGUUAGACGAACGGUCUGGAAAGUCCGACGAUACAGGGUGAUAGUCCCGUAGUUGACGACGUGUGUUCAGUGAAAUCGAGUAGGGCGGGACACGUGAUAUCCUGUCUGAAUAUGGGGGGACCAUCCUCCAAGGCUAAAUACUACUGACUGACCGAUAGUGAACCAGUACCGUGAGGGAAAGGCGAAAAGAACCCCUGUGAGGGGAGUGAAAUAGAACCUGAAACCGUGUACGUACAAGCAGUAGGAGCAGGCUUUGUCCUGUGACUGCGUACCUUUUGUAUAAUGGGUCAGCGACUUAUAUUCAGUGGCAAGGUUAACCAUCUAGGGGAGCCGUAGGGAAACCGAGUCUUAACUGGGCGUUCAGUCUCUGGAUAUAGACCCGAAACCAGGUGAUCUAGCCAUGGGCAGGUUGAAGGUUGAGUAACAUCAACUGGAGGACCGAACCGACUAAUGUUGAAAAAUUAGCGGAUGACUUGUGGCUAGGGGUGAAAGGCCAAUCAAACCUGGAGAUAGCUGGUUCUCCCCGAAAGCUAUUUAGGUAGCGCCUCGGACGAAUACUACUGGGGGUAGAGCACUGUUAAGGCUAGGGGGUCAUCCCGACUUACCAACCCUUUGCAAACUCCGAAUACCAGUAAGUACUAUCCGGGAGACACACGGCGGGUGCUAACGUCCGUCGUGGAGAGGGAAACAACCCAGACCGCCAGCUAAGGUCCCAAAUUACUACUAAGUGGGAAACGAUGUGGGAAGGCUCAGACAGCCAGGAUGUUGGCUUAGAAGCAGCCAUCAUUUAAAGAAAGCGUAAUAGCUCACUGGUCGAGUCGGCCUGCGCGGAAGAUGUAACGGGGCUAAGUAGUAAACCGAAGCUGCGGCAAUGUGCUUUUGCACAUUGGGUAGGGGAGCGUUCUGUAAGCGGUUGAAGGUGUGUGGUAACGCAUGCUGGACGUAUCAGAAGUGCGAAUGCUGACAUGAGUAACGAUAAAGGGGGUGAAAAACCUCCUCGCCGGAAGACCAAGGGUUCCUGUCCAACGUUAAUCGGGGCAGGGUAAGUCGACCCCUAAGGCGAGGCCGAAAGGCGUAGUCGAUGGGAAACGGGUUAAUAUUCCCGUACUUCUUACAAUUGCGAUGGGGGGACGGAGAAGGCUAGGUGGGCCUGGCGACGGUUGUCCAGGUUCAAGUGCGUAGGCUUAAGAGUUAGGUAAAUCCGGCUCUUUUUAAGGCUGAGACACGACGUCGAGCACCUACGGGUGUGAAGUCAUUGAUGCCAUGCUUCCAGGAAAAGCCUCUAAGCUUCAGAUUGUAAGGAAUCGUACCCCAAACCGACACAGGUGGUCGGGUAGAGAAUACCAAGGCGCUUGAGAGAACUCGGGUGAAGGAACUAGGCAAAAUGGUACCGUAACUUCGGGAGAAGGUACGCUCUCGACGGUGAAGUCCCUCGCGGAUGGAGCUAUUGAGAGUCGCAGAUACCAGGUGGCUGCAACUGUUUAUUAAAAACACAGCACUGUGCAAAAUCGUAAGAUGACGUAUACGGUGUGACGCCUGCCCGGUGCCGGAAGGUUAAUUGAUGGGGUUAGACUUCGGUCGAAGCUCUUGAUCGAAGCCCCGGUAAACGGCGGCCGUAACUAUAACGGUCCUAAGGUAGCGAAAUUCCUUGUCGGGUAAGUUCCGACCUGCACGAAUGGCGUAAUGAUGGCCACGCUGUCUCCACCCGAGACUCAGUGAAAUUGAAAUCGCUGUGAAGAUGCAGUGUACCCGCGGCUAGACGGAAAGACCCCGUGAACCUUUACUACAGCUUGGCACUGAACAUUGACCCUACAUGUGUAGGAUAGGUGGGAGGCUUUGAAGCACGUACGCCAGUAUGUGUGGAGCCGUCCUUGAAAUACCACCCUUGUAGUGUUGAUGUUCUAACGUUGACCCCUUAUCGGGGUUGCGGACAGUGCCUGGUGGGUAGUUUGACUGGGGCGGUCUCCUCCCAAAGAGUAACGGAGGAGCACGAAGGUGGGCUAAUCACGGUUGGACAUCGUGAGGUUAGUGCAAUGGCAUAAGCCCGCUUGACUGCGAGAAUGACAAUUCGAGCAGGUGCGAAAGCAGGUCAUAGUGAUCCGGUGGUUCUGAAUGGAAGGGCCAUCGCUCAACGGAUAAAAGGUACUCCGGGGAUAACAGGCUGAUACCGCCCAAGAGUUCAUAUCGACGGCGGUGUUUGGCACCUCGAUGUCGGCUCAUCACAUCCUGGGGCUGAAGUCGGUCCCAAGGGUAUGGCUGUUCGCCAUUUAAAGUGGUACGCGAGCUGGGUUUAGAACGUCGUGAGACAGUUCGGUCCCUAUCUGCCGUGGGCGUUGGAAGAUUGAAGGGGGCUGCUCCUAGUACGAGAGGACCGGAGUGGACGAACCUCUGGUGUUCGGGUUGUGUCGCCAGACGCAUUGCCCGGUAGCUAAGUUCGGAAUCGAUAACCGCUGAAAGCAUCUAAGCGGGAAGCGAGCCCUGAGAUGAGUCUUCCCUGAUACUUUAAGUAUCCUAAAGGGUUGUCGGAGACUACGACGUUGAUAGGUCAGGUGUGUAAGUGCUGUGAGGCAUUGAGCUAACUGAUACUAAUUGCCCGUGAGGCUUAACCAUACAACACCCAAGGGGUUU
rnacentral:rRNA from 1 species